UUUGCUUGAGUCCGUUCUUCUCUCUUGCCCAUUUUUCUUUCAGGCCUGGUCCUCUUUGGAGACCCCACGAAUUACUAGUCCUGCAGGUGGGUACACAUACCCACUUAAUAAACCUCUGGCAUAGAAGAUCGGGCGACCCCAGCCUCAUGUUUCUUUAAAUAAUAACUAACAUUGGUGCCGUGACUCGGGAAGGGCUCCCUUAGCUUAGCUAGGGCCCCUUUCAGACUUCGGAUAGGACUGUUACAACAGAUUUUCUCCUAAAAAUCUCUAUUUUUCUCUCAACUGCCCUCAUGCCCGUGCACAGCCAUUUCCCCAGGCUGCUUCUACACUCCCCAGGCUUGGGUCCUUCCCCUGCAGCUGGUGCCCAUGCUCCAAUCUGGCACCAUGGCUGGGGCUCUCUGAGAGGUGUGGCGAUGCAGGUCCAGUUCUGGUUCGUGACUGGGGAUGCUCAGUGCAGCCUCGGAGGAACACCAUCAGGCUGCAGGGGCACACGGCGCCGAGGCGUGUGGUACUGGGCACCCAGCGGCUGCCUGCUCCUGCUGUGGCUGUGCUCCCCUGCCUGCAUGGUGACCGACAGAGAGGCCCCACCACGGCCAUUGCUCUAGAGUCGUGGAGACGCACACAACACAAAAAUCAACUUUGGAAAACUUGGUAAGGAAUUUCUAAAAAACCCAGCACAGCUGCAAAACUUUUAAAUCUCCCGAGGGAUUUUAAAAUCUCACGAGAUUUUCGGCACCAUCUUGGUUUUGGGAGGAAGUGGGCGAAACUGUAGCUUAACCUUUCACUUAAUAUGGCACAAUGCCAUCUUAGGUUUGGGCAAAGAGGCCCUGCCUCCUGUGCGCCCUGCAGGAAACCAUCUCUCCAUGUGCUUCCCCCUCCCCCACCAAGCUGAGUUUCACUUCUGCUACUAUGGUGCCUGCUACUGCCUUCUCUCUCUUGCUAUGUGUUUCCCCCCACCACCACCAAGCUGCUUUCAUUUUGCUUCUAGCCCUAUUUUGCUUCUAGCCACGUGCUUUCUUCUAGGAGGCUGUUUCCAAGCUUAAAAAAAAAAAAAAAAAAAAAAAAAAAACUUUUCUCCCUGAUUUAUGUACACUUCUUUACUCUUAUAUUUUAAAUUCCUUACCUAAUGCUUUAUAUAAUUUUCUCAUUCAGUUUGCAUUUAUAAGUCUUAAUCAUAAUUAACUGUUUAUCUUAUCUUUUAGACUAGGCAACAACAACGAGCCUCAUUUCAAGUUGGUAUGGAUUUUUAUAAAAAUUCAAAGUUACAUUUUACUAUCUUAUGAUUCAACCCUGCUUCAAAUAAAUUUUAUAUAAUAAUAAAAUUUUAAAGUUAUAAAUAUCUAUUCAAAUUAAGUUGGUUUAUGUGUUGUUCAAAUAUAAUUUUAAAAUUGCUUUAUACUGCUCUGCUCAGGGGUUCAUUAGUACGUACAAGUUGUUUACCAAUAUUCUAAAUUAAUUUCUAUUAAUUUUAGAGGUAUUUAUUUAUGUUAAAACUGGGUCAAUUUGCUGUAUCCCUACUAUCAAAGGGUUAGAAUAUACUUGCUUAAUUUUAAAAUUGGUUUAUACUGUUCUGCUAAAUUGUUGGUUUUAAACUUAUAGCUCAAGAGUUCAUUAUUAUGUACAAAUUGUUUACCAAUAUUCUAAAUUAAGAUCUAUUAAUUUUUAAAAAUAUACAAUUAUAAUAAAACUGGGUCAAUUUACUGUAUCUCUGCUAUUAAAAGGUUAAUAUAAGCUUGUUCUUGUUCUCUUAAAAUUGUUGUUAUUUAUCUGUAGUAUAGCCUUACACUAUUAUAAUCUAUAAACUUUUAUAUAGUAAAUCAUACAAAAACUCUUGUGCUCUCACUUUAAUAGAUUAUAUUCAUGACUUUUAAGAUUAUAACUUAGCAAGGACAAAACCUAAAGUCCUAAUAUUUAAUGGUUAACAAAUGCAAGUUAAUAGUCAUCUCAUAGAUACACAUUUAUAGUCCUACAGAUGCAAACAUGGUCUCACUGCAAUUUUUAAUAAACACCUGAGGAUGGUCGUUGAGUCACCAUAUAGGAGUUGGUAAAAAUAGUAAGAGCCAUCCCACCUGGCUCUAGAUCUUAGCUGCUGCACUCUGAGACUUCUGGCAUUCCCACAAAAAAGGGAAGAGGUUUGCAUAGCCAAAAGUCUGUUGCCCCAGGUGACAUUUUCAAAUGUAUCCAAGUGGAUGCUGGUCCCGCUGCUGCUGCAACAUUCCAAAGCUGGCUGCUGGAAAACUGGCCUCUGGAAGUCAAAAUGCCCCAAGCAGGCUUGUCCUCUGUGCCCAGCCAUGGAGGUUCAACCAGCACAAGAGCCACAGACACUUCCAGCCUUCUAGCUCGUUGGCCUGGCGGAGGACGAAUGGCUCCUUUACUUAGCAACCUCCACAGCUCUCGCACAGGUCUGUUUUUGACCUCAGAAUGAGAUCCCACGGACAUAUUGCCAACUUUUGUGUUGGGAGACUUCAGGUGCCUUCCCAGUUCUCUUUAUAUGCAGGAGACAACAGGCCUUAAGCCUAAGCACUAGAGCUGCUAUUUUCAGGCCUAACACAGUCCAGACUCAAGAAACAUGCCUAAAGGUAUAUAAAUACAAGUUUUUCAUGUUUAAGAGUCUAAAAAUGUGUCUUAAGGGUGGUAACACAACUUAAAAAUGUUUGAGGGCCUAAAAAAUAUUUUAAAGUUGGUAAAUGCAAGUUAUAAAGGUUACAAGGUGUAAGGUGAUUUAAGGUAUCUUAAAUAGGUAAAAAGGCUUAAUGUUUCCUCCUGUUGUUAUACUACUGUUGUAUUGACUGUCCAGGGUAGGUAAAAAGGCUCAGUAUAUCUUUCUGUUGUUAUGCUACUGUUGUAUUGACUGUCCAGAGUUUUAACCUUUAUCAAUAGAGCUCUAAUUUAUUACUCUGACUCUGAUACAAAAACAUUCCACUGUACCAUGUACUAUUAUGGUUCUAAACUCAAGAUUGUAAGCCUCCAUAAUAUGUAUACUUAUACUAGAAGUUAAGAUCAAGUGAGUUUCCCUUUUACUUGAUAAAAGGCUAUUGCAUUUUCAGAGCUCACUUUAAAAAAUACUUAUGCUAUUAACACAAAUAUGUAUGUCUACUGCCUUUUUCUACAAUGCAGAGUACAAUUGUGAUACUAACAUGUCUAAAGUUUUAUCUCUGUCUUAAAACUUAAAAGUAAUUCUUGUAAGCUGCAGAAAGUCCACCUAAAUCCACCUCUCAGGUCAAUUGGACUCCAGCUAAGUACUGCACUUAUUGCCUAUCUCAAAAGGUGGGACUCCUCCCCUUUCCCUGGUUUUGGGACUUCCUUUCCUGGCUACCAGACUGCUAUUUACUGUAUGCAACACUGGCUGAAUUGGUGAGUCCUCCUUAUUGACCAGCCACUAGAUUGGUGAGUUCACUCCAUUUUCUCAGCAUAAACACCUCUCUUGGUAGGGGAAGCUUGAUCGCAGAGCUCUUGCAACUUCGUACUAUCUUUGAGAUGGAGGGACCCUCCCAGCUGUAGCCUUAACUGUCUAGGUUUGACCCUCUAUCCUGACCUCCAUUUUAGGGCCUCACUCUCCCUUGAGCGGUACAUCCCCACUCACACACAGUUCCUUUCUCCCCCCCCUCUCUCUCACUCACUCGCUCAUGGCAAGACCUAGCACUAGGUGAACCUUUGUGCCCCAGCCGUGCCCCAGUGGGCAUCUGCACCCCGGUCCCUGGCCAAAAGCUGAUGAGCUAUUGGACCAGGUAGCACCCCUUUCUUGGAGUCACACCUUGCCAUUGGGACGCCUCUAGAAGGUCGCUGACUUCUGCCCCCAAUGGGAGAUGCCCAGAGGCCCAUCCCUCCAGAUAGGAUGUCCUCCUGAGAAUUUUAAGUUUCUAAACCUAGUGCCAGCUGGCACCAGGGCCUCUAAGUUUACAUGCUUCUGUAACCAAACCUCAUCUCAAUGACAGAUUGAAAACAAAGCCUUCUUUAAAUAUUGCCAGUGAUUGGGUAAAUAAAGUUCCCCCCAGGUACACAGAGGUUCCCAUGUUCAAGUCUCAUUGAUCCAAACCUUCUAUUUCUGUUUGCUCUCCCAGAAGUUUUCAAUGUAUACCUACAGGAUUUUUUCUAUAACCUACUCAACUUUAUUUUUGCCUAUAUAUGUGUUUCACUGUCCUGCCAGACACAGAUGUUUACUAUAGCCACAACAGUGCCAAAGCAGCUACAGGUGUUCAACUCUGACCUCAUGGACUUCCAACAAGCUGCAGGUGUUCAACUCUGACCUCACAGACUUCCAACAAGCUGGACCUGCACCUUCUUUCCCAGCCAUGGAUAUUCUUGCAGACCCUGGAAAGCAUCAAUACAGCCUAUUCUUCCUGGACUUGGCCAACAUUUCAGCCUUUUGAUCUCCCUACAGCACCCCCAGUGUAAGGAGGAAGUAUCCAGAAGAGAAUCUAUGCCCAUUAUUGACUUGUUGUUAACAAAAGGCUGAAAUGGUGUGCUUCAGGACUGGGACAGGCGGCUCCAGGUUCUUCUUCCAGCAUUCCCCAAUCCCUACCUGUUGCCUUGCAUGGCUGACAACUCUUUAUUGACAACCCUCUACCCUAAAAUUUCCAGGGCAGAGGCUUCCCUUACUCUUGACCUUGCAAUAUGACCAUUUUGUUGCUAUAAUUCUCUCUUUCUCAACGCCUUACAUGACAACCAAGAUCUGCUUCCAAUGAGCCUAAAUUUAUAUACUUUAACUUACCUUAUAAAAAGCAGCCCAGGCUCCCCAUUUUUUAAUUAUAGAAAAAGGGAGGAAUGUUAGUAUUUUGGAACACAACCUGCUCCUGGGUUACCCAGCAACUUAUGAUGUCAUCAUGUGUCGCCGGCCAGGUGGCCACACCUGGAAGGCAAGGUUACCUUGCCCCUUAAAGGGCCAACCCCAAAAUGUGGUCUCUCUCUCUCUCUCUCUCUCUCUCUCUCUCUCUCUCGGUGCCCCUCUUUCUUUUUCUCUCUCCCCACCAUGUCCUGUUCUCCCACUCCCUCAAUACCACUUAAUAAACCUCUGGCAUAGAAGAUUGGUUGACCCCAGGCUCAUAUUUCUUUAAGAACAGGGUGGAGGUGUCAGCCUUCAUGAAACUUUAGGCAGCAAUUAAACAAAGCCCUGGGUACUUGGAUUAUCUCAGGUUCUGCACCUCUGAGGAGCCCACUGACUACCACACUUUUCCUCUCUCCUAGGCCUUUGAGAUCCUCAGUCUGGUCUAGUGGAAUCUCCAGAAAUGUUGCAGGGUAUUCACCAGAGAAGAUGGCUUGGACAUAGGCUUAAGCCCAUAGAAAGCCUUUAUUAGCUGCUUUGGCAUGUGGUGCUGUCUACAUGCUGAGUUAGAGCCUGAAUGGCACUUCCAUCAGGAAGUCAGCUGUGCUAAAGUCUGGUGCCCUGUUACAUUCAAUCAUUGCUACUGCAUGUGGAACAAUAAACACAUGCCAAUAUUUGUCUUGGUCUCGUUUUGUUAAUAAAAGUAUUUGGUAAUCAAGAAUCUCUUCACACAUGAGCAAUAUUGGUUAAUAAUUGGCUAAGAAGAAGAACAGUGAGUUAAAUGAUUUACUGGAAGAAUUUCGAGGAAUCUGCAUGUGCUUACAAAUAUACCUUAAGUAACUCGGUCACCCCACCCCAGACCCUGGUGGUCUCUGUUCUUUUCUCUUUCCCAAUCUUUCUGUCUCUCUUCCUUCCUCCUUUCUUUCCUUCUCUUCUCUCUCCCUUCCUCUAUCUUUCAUCUCUUCCUCCCUCUCUCCUUCUCUUUCUCUCUCCCUUUCUCCCCUUCUCUCUCUCUUCUUCUCUCCUCCUCUCUCAGCCUCCCCUUCUCCUCUUUCUCUCCCUCCCCUUUCUCUCUUCAUCCCUCCUCCCCCUCUCUCUUCUCUCUCUCUCUGUGCUCAAUGCUUGUGCAUGUGUAUGCGAAUGUGACUGUAAGCGUUUAUGCAUGAAGAGUGAACUAAGAACACUUGUGGGAAUAAGAGGACAAUUUGCAUGUGUUAGUUGUUCUUUUUUUUUUUUUUUUACCAUGUUGGUCCUUGGUCCUGGGCAUAGAACUCCAGGCAACAGGCUUGACUUUUAUCCACUAUGCCAUCUUGCCCACUGGUAUAUAUUUGACAUAGUGAUAUUAGAAAAUAAAAGGAGCAGAGUGGAAAUAUUCCUGGAAAGAAGUAUGAAAGUAAUGCAGUACAGGUUCCUAUGAGAAUUCUACCAAGGAGUUUUUAAGAGAAUGUUUCCAAGGAAGACACAGAGCUUUCAUUCCACCAGCCUUGAAAUAUAAAUUUGUGUGAGAAAUGCAUCAACAAGAAAAUCUCUUAAAUCGGAUCCUAAAAUUUCUCCAAGCACUGAUUACCUUUACUUCAAUGCUAGCUCACAAAAUAUUCUGCUUGCCCAAAGGAAAACAGAUACACAUAUUCACUGCUAGCAGAGGCAGUCAACAUACAGUUAAUAUUCCCAGUAGUUAUGAACUAGAAAACAAAACACUAGAUGUGAGAUUGGUAAGAGGACUUGAAGUGAAAGCUGCUGUGAUACUUUAAAUCUUUGAAACAUAGACCUUUACUCCAUGUCACAAAACAAAUUACUGGUGGUGAAUUUUAUCGUCUACAAGUUAGCAUUUAGAAAUGUAAAAUUAAUAUCAUCACUUAAAGCACAUGUUUAUUCUUUGCAGAGAUGUGUCUAAGGUAGAGUUUUAAAUUAUUGCCUUUUCUUUACAUUUCGGUAAUGGCUUGAAAGUUUAUUUCUUAUGGGCAAAAGAGAACAUCAAAUACAUUCAUGCCCAUACAGAUUAAUAAUUUAGAAAACGUUGUUUCCUAAUAAAAUUACAAUGAAAAAAUGAUGAUUUCAAUGUUCCUGUUUCAACACCAUCCCUUUCUUAGCUGUGAAGAAUUUAUCAAAGUGAAACUUUAGUAGGACACUGUGUUCUGCCUUGCCAUUCACAUUGCUUUGGUUACUUCAGAACAAUUAGGUUUUGCCAUCAUUUUACAGUUAUGAAAGAGGUCUGAGUAUGAACACAAAAUUAAUUUGUCUAAUGUCGCACAGCUGAGUAGUAUAAGAAGGUUUUAGACUAUCAAUUUGCUUUUAGGCUACUAAGUUCUCCACUUCCUGUCAUAGUAUCAUCUGUAUCAGCACAAAUGUUCAUAAAAUCUUCCAUAGGUUUUAUAUUUUACAUUCAUGUAAAUUUCCCACAGUUGUCAGUAUCACUUGAAAAAUUCUACUUAUCCCAAUUUCAACAUUUACUAGGAAUUCCUGGAGGCUUCCCUGCAGAACAGAAGAACCAGUUAUUCUAUGCUUCUCAUUUCCAGUAACUUUUAACACACCUAUUUUGUAGUUUUGGUUUUUUUUUUUUUCUGAUUGCAAGCAAGGAAGAAAGAUGUCCUGAAUUGUAGAAAUAAGCAGAUAAACAACUACCAGUUUUAUUAAUGUCAAGUCAAGGAGGCUAUGAGGCGGUUCUGUGGAGUAAUGACUUUUAUCUUUAGAAUGAAGCUGGGAAAUAAACUAAGACAUGAAAAACACAGUGUCCAGAACAAUCAAUCAAAAGCAUGACAAGACCCUGUUGGGAUAAGCUCUAGCUAUUUCUAUUCUUAACAUGGAAUAGUCUAGCUAGCAGAAUCUGAGAACCAGAGAUAAAAAGGAGAGUUCAACUCCCACCUAUCAUGUUAGUUUUCUAUGAGACCCUUAACCCUAUAUGCUUUGUUACCUCCGGAUUUUGAGCAGUGCCAUAGCCCAGAAUAGGCAUGAUGCAACCAUCAUUGAGUCUCACACAGUGCUGUUUAGAACUCAUUGCUCGCUCUUCACUCCUCUGAUUGUGCAGAUGCUGUAAUUUUUUUCUUUCAGUUAUAGAUGGUUCUAAAAAGAAGGGCAGAGCUUCACCCCUAGAAGCUGUUUAACCAAAAGUUAAACAUUAUGGGAGGAGUGAGGUUGAUACAAAGUAACUACAGGUAACAGUCGGAAUCAGUUUGACUUACGUGAUUUUGGUUUCUUUCAUAAGUUAGAGCCACUGACACUGAAACUACUAGUUUUAAAUAACUUUCCUCUUCAUGGUCUUCAUAUUACUAUACUAAUUAUAACAUUGAAUAAUUACCAGCAGUUUGAAACUGUCACAAUUGUUUUAACAUUUAUUUUCUCUCUUUCCUCUCUUCUCUCCCUACCUCAACCCCUGUGCAUGCAAGUGCACAUGGCAGGGGGACAUAGACAUCAUAUCCCUUGAAGCUGGAGUUAUAGGUGUUUGUGGGCUGCAUGAUGGAGAUGACUGAUUUCAACUCUGGAACUCUGAAAGAAAGCAAGCUCUGUUAACCAUAAGCCAUAUUGCCCACACCAGAAUUUUUUGCUCUUGGUGGAAAACUUUUUGCAUUAUAAUGAAUUUGAUUAUUACCAUUGUAUAAUCCAUGAAAAAUUCAAAAUAAAGAAAAUAUGUUAAGAA